UCGGGAAUUUUGGGCAAUGGGCGAAAGCCUGACCCAGCAACGCCGCGUGAAGGAUGAAGUAUUUCGGUAUGUAAACUUCGAAAGAAUAGGAAGAAUAAAUGACGGUACUAUUUAUAAGGUCCGGCUAACUACGUGCCAGCAGCCGCGGUAAUACGUAGGGACCAAGCGUUGUUCGGAUUUACUGGGCGUAAAGGGCGCGUAGGCGGCAAUUCAAGUCAUCUGUGAAAUCUCCGGGCUUAACUCGGAACGGUCAGAUGAUACUGCUUUGCUAGAGUGCAGAAGGGGCAAUCGGAAUUCUUGGUGUAGCGGUGAAAUGCGUAGAUAUCAAGAGGAACACCUGAGGUGAAGACGGGUUGCUGGGCUGAUACUGACGCUGAGGCGCGAAAGCUAGGGUAGCAAACGGGGAUUAGAUACCCAUGUAGUCCCUGAGCGGGCUGGCAAGGCGCAU
rnacentral:rRNA from 1 species